rnacentral:rRNA from 1 species
UUACCUACGGGAGGCAGCAGUGGGGAAUAUUGCACAAUGGGCGCAAGCCUGAUGCAGCAACGCCGCGUGAGCGAAGAAGGCCUUCGGAUCGUAAAGCUCUGUCCUUGAGGAAGAAGGAAGUGACGGUACUCAAGGAGGAAGCCCCGGCUAACUACGUGCCAGCAGCCGCGGUAAUACGUAGGGGGCAAGCGUUAUCCGGAAUUAUUGGGCGUAAAGAGUACGAAGGGGGUUUUGUAAGCGCGGGGUGAAAGGCAGUGGCUUAACCAUUGUAAGCCUUGCGACCUUCAAGACUUGAGUGCAGGAGG